rnacentral:rRNA from 1 species
AUUUGGACAAUUUUGAAAAUUUGACCUCAAAUCAGGUAG